rnacentral:rRNA from 1 species
UGGUGACUAUAGCAAGGAGGUCACACCUGUUCCCAUGCCGAACACAGAAGUUAAGCUCCUUAGCGUCGAUGGUAGUCACGUCAAAAUAAAAGCAAACA